GACAGAGGGUGCAAACGUUGUUCGGAAUUACUGGGCGUAAAGCGCGUGUAGGCUGCUCCGCAAGUCGGGUGUGAAAGCCCUGGGCUCAACCUAGGAAGUGCACUCGAAACUGCGGAGCUGGAGUCCUGGAGAGGAAGGCGGAAUUCUCGGUGUAGAGGUGAAAUUCGUAGAUAUCGAGAGGAACACCGGUGGCGAAGGCGGCCUUCUGGACAGUGACUGACGCUGAGACGCGAAAGCGUGGGGAGCAAACAGG
rnacentral:rRNA from 1 species